GAAUGUGAGUGACAUCUGGCUACAACACUCCCCAACCAGGUGAUUCUAGAUUGAUUUGGCUCACCUGGAUGGCUAAAGGGUGUCCUUCAUCUCACAUUGUUCCAAGUAGAGCCCUUCAAAAGCUGAGAAUUUGGUCAAAAAGGGAAAGCCUUCCAAAUAGAGGAGCACCUGUCUUUAGUCAGA
rfam:Canis lupus familiaris chromosome 30, whole genome shotgun sequence.